rnacentral:rRNA from 2 species
UUAAGCGACUAAGCGUACACGGUGGAUGCCCUGGCAGUCAGAGGCGAUGAAGGACGUGCUAAUCUGCGAAAAGCGUCGGUAAGGUGAUAUGAACCGUUACAGCCGGCGAUGUCCGAAUGGGGAAACCCAGUGCAAUUCGUUGCACUAUCGUUAACUGAAUACAUAGGUUAACGAGGCGAACCGGGGGAACUGAAACAUCUAAGUACCCCGAGGAAAAGAAAUCAACCGAGAUUCCCCCAGUAGCGGCGAGCGAACGGGGAGCAGCCCAGAGUCUGAAUCAGCUUGUGUGUUAGUGGAACGGUCUGGAAAGUCCGACGGUACAGGGUGAUAGUCCCGUACACCAAAAUGCACAGGUUGUGAACUCGAAGAGUAGGGCGGGACACGUGGUAUCCUGUCUGAAUAUGGGGGGACCAUCCUCCAAGGCUAAAUACUCCUGACUGACCGAUAGUGAACCAGUACCGUGAGGGAAAGGCGAAAAGAACCCCGGCGAGGGGAGUGAAAAAGAACCUGAAACCGUGUACGUACAAGCAGUGGGAGCACCUUCGGGUGUGACUGCGUACCUUUUGUAUAAUGGGUCAGCGACUUAUAUUCUGUAGCAAGGUUAACCGUAUAGGGGAGCCGCAGGGAAACCGAGUCUUAACUGGGCGUUAAGUUGCAGGGUAUAGACCCGAAACCCGGUGAUCUAGCCAUGGGCAGGUUGAAGGUUGGGUAACACUAACUGGAGGACCGAACCGACUAAUGUUGAAAAAUUAGCGGAUGACUUGUGGCUGGGGGUGAAAGGCCAAUCAAACCGGGAGAUAGCUGGUUCUCCCCGAAAGCUAUUUAGGUAGCGCCUCGUGAAUUCAUCUUCGGGGGUAGAGCACUGUUUCGGCUAGGGGGUCAUCCCGACUUACCAACCCGAUGCAAACUACGAAUACCGAAGAAUGUUAUCACGGGAGACACACGGCGGGUGCUAACGUCCGUCGUGAAGAGGGAAACAACCCAGACCGCCAGCUAAGGUCCCAAAGUCAUGGUUAAGUGGGAAACGAUGUGGGAAGGCACAGACAGCCAGGAUGUUGGCUUAGAAGCAGCCAUCAUUUAAAGAAAGCGUAAUAGCUCACUGGUCGAGUCGGCCUGCGCGGAAGAUGUAACGGGGCUAAACCAUGCACCGAAGCUGCGGCAGCGACACUAUGUGUUGUUGGGUAGGGGAGCGUUCUGUAAGCCUGCGAAGGUGACCUGUGAGGGUUGCUGGAGGUAUCAGAAGUGCGAAUGCUGACAUAAGUAACGAUAAAGCGGGUGAAAAGCCCGCUCGCCGGAAGACCAAGGGUUCCUGUCCAACGUUAAUCGGGGCAGGGUGAGUCGACCCCUAAGGCGAGGCCGAAAGGCGUAGUCGAUGGGAAACAGGUUAAUAUUCCUGUACUUGGUGUUACUGCGAAGGGGGGACGGAGAAGGCUAUGUUAGCCGGGCGACGGUUGUCCCGGUUUAAGCAUGUAGGCUGAUUGUCCAGGCAAAUCCGGAUAAUCAAGGCUGAGGUGUGAUGACGAGGCACUACGGUGCUGAAGUAACAAAUGCCCUGCUUCCAGGAAAAGCCUCUAAGCAUCAGGUAACAUUAAAUCGUACCCCAAACCGACACAGGUGGUCAGGUAGAGAAUACCAAGGCGCUUGAGAGAACUCGGGUGAAGGAACUAGGCAAAAUGGUGCCGUAACUUCGGGAGAAGGCACGCUGGUGUGUAGGUGAAGUCCCUGCGGAUGGAGCUGAGACCAGUCGAAGAUACCAGCUGGCUGCAACUGUUUAUUAAAAACACAGCACUGUGCAAACACGAAAGUGGACGUAUACGGUGUGACGCCUGCCCGGUGCCGGAAGGUUAAUUGAUGGGGUUAUCCGUAAGGAGAAGCUCUUGAUCGAAGCCCCGGUAAACGGCGGCCGUAACUAUAACGGUCCUAAGGUAGCGAAAUUCCUUGUCGGGUAAGUUCCGACCUGCACGAAUGGCGUAAUGAUGGCCAGGCUGUCUCCACCCGAGACUCAGUGAAAUUGAACUCGCUGUGAAGAUGCAGUGUACCCGCGGCAAGACGGAAAGACCCCGUGAACCUUUACUAUAGCUUGACACUGAACAUUGAGCCUUGAUGUGUAGGAUAGGUGGGAGGCUUUGAAGCGUGGACGCCAGUCUGCGUGGAGCCAACCUUGAAAUACCACCCUUUAAUGUUUGAUGUUCUAACGUUGGCCCCUUACCGGGGUUGCGGACAGUGUCUGGUGGGUAGUUUGACUGGGGCGGUCUCCUCCCAAAGCGUAACGGAGGAGCACGAAGGUUAGCUAAUCCUGGUCGGACAUCAGGAGGUUAGUGCAAUGGCAUAAGCUAGCUUGACUGCGAGCGUGACGGCGCGAGCAGGUGCGAAAGCAGGUCAUAGUGAUCCGGUGGUUCUGAAUGGAAGGGCCAUCGCUCAACGGAUAAAAGGUACUCCGGGGAUAACAGGCUGAUACCGCCCAAGAGUUCAUAUCGACGGCGGUGUUUGGCACCUCGAUGUCGGCUCAUCACAUCCUGGGGCUGAAGUAGGUCCCAAGGGUAUGGCUGUUCGCCAUUUAAAGUGGUACGCGAGCUGGGUUUAGAACGUCGUGAGACAGUUCGGUCCCUAUCUGCCGUGGGCGCUGGAGAAUUGAGGGGGGCUGCUCCUAGUACGAGAGGACCGGAGUGGACGCAUCACUGGUGUUCGGGUUGUCAUGCCAAUGGCACUGCCCGGUAGCUAAAUGCGGAAGAGAUAAGUGCUGAAAGCAUCUAAGCACGAAACUUGCCCCGAGAUGAGUUCUCCCUGAGACUUUAAGUCUCCUGAAGGAACGUUAAAGACGAUGACGUUGAUAGGCCGGGUGUGUAAGCGCAGCGAUGCGUUGAGCUAACCGGUACUAAUGAACCGUGAGGCUUAACCUU